rnacentral:rRNA from 1 species
AGUGAACGCUGGCGGUAGGCCUAACACAUGCAAGUCGAACGGCAGCACCGUAAGAGCUUGCUCUUACGGGUGGCGAGUGACGGACGGGUGAGGAAUACAUCGGAAUCUACUUUUUCGUGGGGGAUAACGUAGGGAAACUUACGCUAAUACCGCAUACGACCUACGGGUGAAAGCAGGGGAUCUUCGGACCUUGCGCGAUUGAAUGAGCCGAGGUCGGAUUAGCUAGUUGGCGGGGUAAAGGCCCACCAAGGCGACGAUCCGUAGCUGGUCUGAGAGGAUGAUCAGCCACACUGGAGCUGAGACACGGUCCAGACUCCUACGGGAGGCAGCAGUGGGGAAUAUUGGACAAUGGGCGCAAGCCUGAUCCAGCCAUACCGCGUGGGUGAAGAAGGCCUUCGGGUUGUAAAGCCCUUUUGUUGGGAAAGAAAAGCAGCAGGUUAAUACCCCGCUGUUCUGACGGUACCCAAAGAAUAAGCACCGGCUAACUUCGUG